ACAGCUAUAUCAUGUUGAAAUACCAGUUCUGGUACGAUCACCGAAGUUAAGCAACGUCUAGCCUGGUCAGUACCUAGACAGAUGAUCGUUUGGGAAUACUAGAUGCUGUAAG